rnacentral:rRNA from 1 species
AUUGAACGCUGGCGGCAGGCCUAACACAUGCAAGUCGAGCGGAUGACGGGAGCUUGCUCCUUGAUUCAGCGGCGGACGGGUGAGUAAUGCCUAGGAAUCUGCCUGGUAGUGGGGGACAACGUUUCGAAAGGAACGCUAAUACCGCAUACGUCCUACGGGAGAAAGCAGGGGACCUUCGGGCCUCGCGCUAUCAGAUGAGCCUAGGUCGGAUUAGCUAGUUGGUGGGGUAAUGGCUCACCAAGGCGACGAUCCGUAACUGGUCUGAGAGGAUGAUCAGUCACACUGGAACUGAGACACGGUCCAGACUCCUACGGGAGGCAGCAGUGGGGAAUAUUGGACAAUGGGCGAAAGCCUGAUCCAGCCAUGCCGCGUGUGUGAAGAAGGUCUUCGGAUUGUAAAGCACUUUAAGUUGGGAGGAAGGGCAGUAAGCUAAUACCUUGCUGUUUUGACGUUACCGACAGAAUAAGCACCGGCUAACUCUGUGCCAGCCGCCGCGGUAAGAC